GACAGUGUCGGAGGCGAGGAGGGCGAGAAAUGCAUGGGAGAAUCUCUGGAUUAGCACUUUUGUUUGUUAAAAAAAAAAAAAAACAAAACUAAAAGGCCAAAAACCAGAGAAUAAUAAAGAAAAUCAGAGAAGAAGAAAUAAGAAGAUGAAUUUGCACUGUUAAGAUUAAAUUGCACUGUUUUAAAAGAACGUUGCACUAUAAUGGACGUAAGUUGCACUCUUUCAAAUAUAAACUCACCCUUUAAGAUGAAAGUUACACUUUUUAAACGAAAGUUGCGCUUUUUGAGAGAUAUUUAUACUGUUUUUUUUCUUGUUGCACUCUAUAAGAGGAGAUAUUUACACUCUUUUUAUUUUUGUUGCACUAUUUCUCGUGUUAAUUUAAAUAUCAACACAUAAAAGAAAAAAUAGUGCAACAAAAGGAGAAAUAGUAUAAUAAGAGAAGAAAUAGUGUAAAUAUCUCUUCUUAAAGAAUACAACAAGAGGAGAAACAGUGUAAAUAUCUCUCAAAGAGUGCAACUUUCAUUUAAAGAGUGUAACUUUCAUCUUAAAUGACAGUUUACAUUUAAAAGAAUGCAACUUACAUCCAUAAUAGUGCAACAUUUUUUUUAAAAUAGUGCAAUUUAAUCUUAACAGUGCAAAUUCAUCUUCUUCUUCCUUCUUCUCUGAUUUUCUAUAUUAUUAUUUAGUUUUUGGACUUUUAGUUUUUUCUUUUUGUUUUAAAUAAACAAAAGUACUAAUAUAGAGAUGCUCCCGUGCAUUUCUCGCCCUUCUUGCCUCCGACAUCGUCGAGGUCAUGCUCGUUGUCGCUCUCUUGGGUAGGCGGGUUGGCCGCAUGGCCCCUCUCUCGCCGGCGUGCUUCUCAACGUUGAGAAGUGCCUUCUCUUUAUCGUCGAUGGCGGUGGUGGGAACGUCAGAAGUGGGUUUUGUUGGUGCAAAAUCUGCUACAGUGGAGGUGUAGGGCGAAGACGGAGGAAAAGGACGGGUUACCGUCCUCGUUAUCGUCGCGGAGGGCCGCGGAGGCGGUGGAGGAGGGUCGGAGAGAAAAAAAAAAGGGUCGCAACGCGGCCUUGACGGGGUCGGAGGCGAGUAGGGCGAGGGUGAGGGUGAGGGUGAGGGCGUGAGGUGCAGAGACGAUCGGGCCGUUUUCGCCUUCGCUUCCGUCGCCUUCUUCGGCGAGGAAAAAAAAGAACGCGAGAAAAAAAAAGGAGAGAGAAAAAGGUAUAAGGGUAUUUUGGUCUGUUUACUAAAAGUUCGGUCCGAAUCUACAAAAUCGAAAAAAAUAGCCCAAUUUUGCAAAAGCGCAAAACUAGUGGAUUUUUUAUGCAAAUUGGCUUGAAUUUUUUCUAGUGAAUCAAACAAAUAAUUUUUUUCUUUCAACCAAAUAAAUAUUAAUAAAAAAUUAUUUUUUUUCUAUAAAUCAAAC
rnacentral:lncRNA from 1 species